CCUACGGGAGGCAGCAGUGAGGAAUAUUGGUCAAUGGGCUGACGUCUGAACCAGCCAAGUCGCGUGAGGGAAGACUGCCCUAUGGGCUGUAAACCUCUUUUGUCAGGGAGCAAUUGGCGCUACGUGUAGCGUUAUCGCGAGUACCUGAAGAAAAAGCAUCGGCUAACUCCGUGCCGGCAGCCGCGGUAAUACGGAGGAUGCUAGCGUGAUCCGGAUUUAUUGGGUUUAAAGGGAGCGUAGGCGGAAUGCCAAGUCAGCGGUAAAAUCGCGGGGCGCAACCGCGCGACGCCGUUGAAACUGGCGUUCUUGAGUGGGCGAGAAGUAUGCGGAAUGCGUGGUGUAGCGGUGAAAUGCAUAGAUAUCACGCAGAACGCCGAUGGCGAAGGCAGCAUACCGGCGCCCAACUGACGCUGAGGCACGAAAGCGUGGGUAUCGAACAGGAUUAGAUACCCGAGUAGUC
rnacentral:rRNA from 1 species